rnacentral:rRNA from 1 species
UGGGGAAUAUUGCACAAUGGGCGAAAGCCUGAUGCAGCGACGCCGCGUGAGGGAUGACGGCCUUCGGGUUGUAAAACCUCUUUCAGCAGGGACGAAGCGCAAGUGACGGUACCUGCAGAAGAAGCACCGGCUAACUACGUGCCAGCAGCCGCGGUAAUACGUAGGGUGCAAGCGUUGUCCGGAAUUACUGGGCGUAAAGAGUUCGUAGGCGGUUUGUCGCGUCGUUUGUGAAAACCAGCAGCUCAACUGCUGGCUUGCAGGCGAUACGGGCAGACUUGAGUACUGCAGGGGAGACUGGAAUUCCUGGUGUAGCGGUGAAAUGCGCAGAUAUCAGGAGGAACACCGGUGGCGAAGGCGGGUCUCUGGGCAGUAACUGACGCUGAGGAACGAAAGCGUGGGUAGCGAACAGGAUUAGAUACCCUGGUAGUCCACGCCGUAAACGGUGGGCGCUAGGUGUGGUUCCUUCCACGGAAUCCGUGCCGUAGCUAACGCAUUAAGCGCCCCGCCUGGGGAGUACGGCCGCAAGGCUAAAACUUAAAGGAAUUGACGGGGUCAUAGCUGUUUCCU